rnacentral:rRNA from 1 species
CCUACGGGAGGCAGCAGUGAGGAAUAUUGGUCAAUGGGCGCGAGCCUGAACCAGCCAAGUAGCGUGAAGGAUGACUGCCCUACGGGUUGUAAACUUCUUGUAUAAAGGAAUAAAGUGAGGCACGUGGGCCUUUUUGUAUGUACGUUAUGAAUAAGGAUCGGCUAACUCCGUACCAGCAGCCGCGGUAAUACGGAGGAUCCGUUCGUUAUCCGGGUUUAUUGGGGUUAAAGGGAGCGUCGAUGGGUUUUUAUGUCAGUUGUGAAAGUUUGCGGCUCCACCGUAAAAUUGCCAUUUAUACUGGCAGUCUUGAGUACAGUUGAGGUAGGCUGAAUUCGUGGUGUAGCUGUGAAAUGCUUAGAUAUCACG